AUCCUUCAAAAUUCAAUUGCCUUGCUUUAGCAUUGUGCCCUUACACUAAUAUUAACUUACACUAGCAAAUGGAUAUUUUUGUAACCAACAAAUGUCAAAAAUAAUACACUAUCAUCCCUCUCCUAAGCUUCUAAGUGUCAUUCAUCCUUUGGUUAUCCUCAAACAAUUACAUUUUCCCUCCUUACCAACAAAACCAUUUAACACGUCUUCUCACUUUUGUAUUUCACUUUCCUAUUCUUCUCUUCAUCAUUUCUCUCUCACUUUCAUUCUCUUACUAGGGUUUCUCUUCUCUCUUUUUUUGUCUUCUCGGUUCCCCCUCUACACCGUCGUCGUCCUCUUCUCUUCUCUUCCACUAUACUCAGUUUUCUCUUCUCCUCCGUUCUCUUCUCUUCCACCGAUGUCCUGUUUCCACCCUAUCUCUCUUGCUUCCACUGUGAAAAGUCUGCACCAGUGAACAUUAUUGUUGGUUCUCAUGUCUGGGUAGAAGAUCCAGCACUAGCAUGGAUUUCUAGUGAAAUUACUAAAAUUAGUGGUGAAAAUGUCCAUACAACACUACAAACCGAAAUUGGAGAAAUUUUAUGCAAUCACAAAGCAACAACGACAGUUAUUUAAAACAUAGGGUAUAGUUAUUAAUCACACAAGAAUUAAAUGUUGAUAAUGUUGAUGAAGUCUAAUUCGCUUGCAAUGAUGAUGAAUUUGUUAGCUUUAGUUUUAUUGGAACACUUACUUUGAAAUCUAAUUCGUUUUCACUACCUCUAAGGAUUCUGUAAGAACAUUUACUUUGAAGUUUUCAUAAUGCAAUGCAGUAUGAAAAUUGGAAACCAUGCACUUAAUAUUGUCUUGUGUUCAUGUUAUUUUUGUUUGUAUUGGUUCUGGACUUUUGAUGCAAGUUAUUUGAACAGUUAACUAUCUGGUGUUAUCCUUAGGUUUUGCCAAAAGAAAGUAGCGAAACGAAGAAUUUACUUUUACUUCAUCAAUCACUUCCUACGACGGAAUUCAUUUCGAGUCAAAACUUGAUGAGAAACAAGCAAUUGCGGCUUCAAUAGCAUUGUCCGAAAAGCCAAAUGCCACGGCUUCUGCUGCAGUUGCUUCUGCAGCUUCUUUAGUAGUUUCUCACUGCAUUGAGAUUGUAGAAGAUAUGGGAGUUGAACAAGAUCAUAUCGUAACCAUAGCCGACUCAGUUAUUAACAAAAAAAUCAAGAGAGAUAUUAUGACUCUUACUGCUGGAGCAUUCACAUGUAUUAUAAUUUAGUCAAUUUAUGAAUCUCAAAUUCUAAAUCAAAACAAGAGAAAAUGUGGAUUUUCUUGAUAGGUCUUUGUAAGACCCCAAUUUUGACCCAAAGAUCCCUCAUGCAAUUUCAUCAUAAGCAUUAGCAUAUGGAUCAUACCUUGGCAUCCUCCUUACCCCUCCUUCAUUGGGUUUGUUUUGGGAGAGAUCAUCAAGCACUUUGUGAUUGUAUCAUACUUGUGUAUUAUCAUUAUACUAACCAAAAUACAAAAAUAUGUCUUUGCAUUUGCCUAACUCUUUUGUAGGUAGGGCAUGAUCUCCAUUGAUCUAUCAAGUUCAUAUCUAGGAUUUGAAACUCUCAUGACAAAGAGCACAACCAUGAAUUGAUCCAAGAAUGGUUAUGAGCAUCAUAUAUGAGUUCCAUUAAUUCCUACAUGUUAUAUUGAUCAAGUUUUCUUCAAGAGUUUGAGGGUGAUUUGCCUUAGAAACCCUAGUUUCACUGGGUAUCUUGAGUAACUUCUCCAACAAGCUAUCUCACCAAUUGAUCAAGUUUCUCAAGGAACACUUCAAAAUUCAUCAUCUUAUGCAUAUAUGAUCUACCAUGAGCCAAUAAAGUCCAAAGAAUUGAAGGUUAGCAAGUUGGUUGAUGGUGGUUGGUCAGAUGAAUUCAUCUGACUAAAACUGGAUCUCCCUAGACCCUAUCUCCUACAAUUUUUACCAUAUGAAAAUGAUUCCAAGAGAAAAGUUACUCUAAAUGACAUUCCAAACAACUUUCAUGUUGAUACCUAUAGCUAGUUUUGCUUGGAAAAUCAUUUUUUUAUGUUGAAACAUUAUAGGUCAUUUUGUCUAAACCCUAAUUUGAAGGUCAACUUCCCAAGGCCAUAACUUGCUCAAUUUUUAUGAGAUGAAAGAUUUCCAAGUUGCACAAUCAAAUUCAAUGUGUCUAAUUCAACUUUUAUGAGCAUGUGAUAUGACUUUACAUUAUAGGUCACUUUUGACCUAUACCAUUGA